UCGGUUUCUAUCUAUGAUAACUUAUACCUAGUACGAAAGGACCGGCAUAAGAAAGCCAAUGCUAUAAGCACGCCUUUACAUAACCACCAAUCAAAUCAAACCACCACCCCAUUUUAAAACCAAGACAAGGUUAAUUAAGGACACAGCCCUUA
rnacentral:rRNA from 1 species